AUUUAUAGGGGAGGGGGAGGUGGAUGCUAAGGGGCUGUUUGGUUGGAUGUAGUUGCAGAAACAGUGUAGUUGAAAAUACAUGCAGUUGUAAAUAUUGUAGUUGUAACUAUACUUAGUUUGUUUGGUUUUACGCAGUUGCAAUUGCUGCAGUUAUAUUUAUUUUGUUUGGUAAUAUGAAGCUGAUAGUUGUAUUUGUGAAUUUUAUCACAUUUUCAGAGAGAGUGGUGAGAUUACCUUCACUAAAUAUAAAAUAAUUGUAUAAGUUUAUUAAUCAUUUAAAUUUACUAUUUAUAAAUAAAUAAGUAGAUAUAUAUAAUAUUUUUCAACUUAUUAAUCGACACAUUUAAAAUUUUUAAUUUAUUUAAUUUUAAUAUGUAAAUCAAACUUUAAAAUUUAAACGAUUCUCUCAUUUUUUUUUAUCAAAUUUAAUAAUUAUAAUUAAUUAAAACUUAUUAAAUUAACAUACACGAUCACAUUCUAUAAAAAUUUUUUUAAAAAACUAUAUUUAUAUUUUAAAUAAAAUAAAUUUAAAAAAUUUAAUUUUUUGCACAAAGCUUGUAUUGUCUAAAAAAUUUUAUUAGUAUGAAUUUAUUUGCAAGUAUUUUUAUUUACCUAUAUACAUAUAUUAUUUAUUUAUUUAGCUAUUUAUUUAUUUAUUUAUUAUUGUUAAUUUGUGGAUGAUUCUAUCUCUCACCAACUGCUGCAGUUGGAACUACGGCCAAUUUGGAUGUAGUUCCAACUGCAGCAUUUGGACCUUCUUGUGUAGUUAGAAUUGCAGCAGUUGAAUUCAACUAUACUAAACCAAACAAAGGAAUUAAGGCGGCUGCACGCAUUUGCAAAUGCGUGCAACCAAACAGCCCCUAAGUUAGUAAACAAGGGAGGAGAGUGAGAUGUGAAG
rnacentral:lncRNA from 1 species